rnacentral:rRNA from 1 species
AUGGCGGAGGAAGCUAAGGCGCCCGCCGACGCAACGUCGACGGUGGCGGAGGAGGCGCCGGUGACGGCCGAGCGGCCGGUACGGCCAGACCUGGAGACACACCUCCCAAAGCCCUACUUGGCUCGAGCUCUGGUCGUGCCCGAUGUGUACCAUCCUGAAGGGGCCGUGGAGGGGCACGAGCACGGGCAGAAGAGCGUGCUGCAGCAGCAUGUGGCCUUCUUCGACCUGGAUGGCGACGGCAUCGUCUAUCCCUGGGAAACUUAUGGAGGAAUGAGGGCAUUGGGCUUCAACGUGAUCGUGUCGUUCGUAUUCGCAAUUGUCUUUAAUAUUGGUUUCAGCUUCCCAACUCUACCUAGCUGGAUACCGUCUCUCUUGUUGCCCGUAUACAUCAAGAACAUCCAUAGGGAUAAGCAUGGUAGCGAUUCCUCAACUUAUGACACAGAGGGAAGGUUCAUGCCGGUAAAUUUCGAGAGCAUCUUCAGCAAGUAUGCCCGCACGGCGCCGGACAAGCUUAGCUUCGGCGACAUCUGGAGGAUGACCGAAGGCAACCGGCUUAACUUCGACUUCAUUGGAUGGAUUGUGAGCAAGGGAGAGUGGAUACUGUUGUACGUGCUUGCCAAGGACGAGGAAGGGUUCCUCUCCAGGGAAGCUGUUCGCCGCUGCUUCGAUGGUAGCCUGUUCGAGUUCAUCGCCCAGCAACGGAGGGAAGCCCACGAGAAGCUGCACUAG